rnacentral:rRNA from 2 species
GUGAAGAAGGGUUUCGGCUCGUAAAGCUCUGUUGUUAGAGAAGAACGUGCGUGAGAGCAACUGUUCACGCAGUGACGGUAUCUAACCAGAAGUCACGGCUAACUACGUGCCAGCAGCCGCGGUAAUACGUAGGUGGCAAGCGUUAUCCGGAUUUAUUGGGCGUAAAGCGAGCGCAGGCGGUUUGAUAAGUCUGAUGUGAAAGCCUUUGGCUUAACCAAAGAAGUGCAUCGGAAACUGUCAGACUUGAGUGCAGAAGAGGACAGUGGAACUCCAUGUGUAGCGGUGGAAUGCGUAGAUAUAUGGAAGAACACCAGUGGCGAAGGCGGCUGUCUGGUCUGCAACUGACGCUGAGGCUCGAAAGCAUGGGUAGCGAACAGGAUUAGAUACCCUGGUAGUCCAUGCCGUAAACGAUGAGUGCUAGGUGUUGGAGGGUUUCCGCCCUUCAGUGCCGCAGCUAACGCAUUAAGCACUCCGCCUGGGGAGUACGACCGCAAGGUUGAAACUCAAAGGAAUUGACGGGGGCCCGCACAAGCGGUGGAGCAUGUGGUUUAAUUCGAAGCUACGCGAAGAACCUUACCAGGUCUUGACAUCUUGCGCCAACCCUAGAGAUAGGGCGUUUCCUUCGGGAACGCAAUGACAGGUGGUGCAUGGUCGUCGUCAGCUCGUGUCGUGAGAUGUUGGGUUAAGUCCCCGCAACGAGCGCAACCCUUGUUACUAGUUGCCAGCA